rnacentral:rRNA from 1 species
AWUGCUGGCGGCAGGCCUAACACAUGCAAGUCGUGCGGAUAACCUCAUGCAGGUUGUUAGCGGCGAACGGGUGAGUAACACGUGAGAAUCUACCUUGUUCAACGGGAUAGCUUAAGGAAACUUAAAGUAAUAACGUAUGAUUCCUGCAACAGGUAAAGAAAUUUUAUUUCGGAACAAGAUGAGCUUGCGGUAGAUUAGCUAGUUGGUGGGGUAAAAGCCUACCAAGGCCAAGAUCUAUAGCUGGKCUGGGAGGAUGGACAGCCACRUUGGGACUGAGACAAGGCCCAAACUUCUACGGAAGUCAGCAGUGAGGAAUAUUGGACRAUGGGCGAAAGCCUGAUCCAGCCAUGCCGSAUGAGUGAUGAAGAUCCUAUAAAAAGGGAUACAAAAAACAUGUAAUCUCGGAUUGUAAAACUCUGUUUAUUUAGCGAUAAUAAUGAUAGUAACUAAAUAAAAGCUCCGGCCAACUUCGUGCCAGCAGCCGCGGUAAUACGAGGGGAGCGAGUGUUGUUCAGUAUUAUUGGGCGUAAAGGGCAUGUAGGCGGUUUUGUAAGUCGACAAUAAAAUCUUGGAACUUAAUUCCAUAGCAGGUUGUUGAUACUACAUUACUAUGAACUUAAUAGGGGUGAACACAAUUCCAAGUGUAGAGGUGAAAUUCGUUGAUAUUUGGAGGGGUACCAGAGGCGAAGGCGGUUCACUGGGUUAAGUUGACGCUGAGGUGCGAAAGCGUGGGGAGCAAACAGGAUUAGAUACCCUGGUAGUCCACGCCCUAAACGAUGAGUGCUAACAGUUUGGUAUAAAUAAUACAUUCUGAAGGGUAUAUCCUUGAAUAUAUCAUAGGGUUGUAUAUUCAUAUUUGAUUGUAUAGCUAACGCGCUAAGCACUCCGCCUGGGGACUACGACCGCAAGGUUAAAACUCAAAGGAAUUGACGGAGACCCGCACAAGCGGUGGAGCAUGUGGUUUAAUUCGAAUCUACACGAAGAACCUUACCAGCCCUUGACAUUUUAGGUUAAACAUAUUAGAAAUAAUAUGCUGCUUACAACAAAGUAAGAAUACCUUGAACAGGUGUUGCAUGGCUGUUGUCAGCUCGUGUCGUGAGAUGUAUGGUUAAGUCCUAAAACGAGCAUAACCCUUAUCUAUAGUUGCCAAAAAAAAUAGGCUCUCUAUGGAGACUGCUAACGAAAAAAGUUAGAGGAAGGUGAGGAUUACAACAAGUCAUCAUGGCCCUUAUGGGCUGGGCCACMCMCGUGCUACAAUGGCAACUACAAAGAGUCGCAAUAUCGUGAGAUGGAGCUAAUCUCAAAAGGUUGUCUUAGUUCGGAUUGUACUCUGCAACUCGAGUACAUGAAGUAGGAAUCGCUAGUAAUCGUGGAUCAGCAUGCCACGGUGAAUACGUUCUCGGGUCUUGUACACACUSCCCGUCACACCAUGGGAGUCGAUUUUAUCCGAAGAUUCUAGAUUUAGAAUCCAAUGUAAAAUUGGUGACCGA